rnacentral:rRNA from 1 species
CCUACGGGAGGCAGCAGUGGGGGAUAUUGCACAAUGGGGGGAACCCUGAUGCAGCGACGCCGCGUGGGUGAAGAAGCGCCUCGGCGCGUAAAGCCCUGUCAGCAGGGAAGAAAAUGACGGUACCUGAAGAAGAAGCCCCGGGUAACUACGUGCCAGCAGCCGCGGUAAUACGUGGGGGGCAAGCGGUAUCCGGUUUUACUGGGUGUAAGGGGGUGCAGACGGCGAUGCAAGCCAGGAGUGAAAGCCCGGGGCCCAACCCCGGGACUGCUCUUGGAACUGCGUGGCUGGAGUGCAGGAGGGGCAGGCGGAAGUCCUGGUGGAGCGGUGAAAUGCGUAGAUAUCAGGAGGAACACCGGUGGCGAAGGCGGCCUGCUGGACUGCAACGGACGCUGAGGCCCGAAAGCGUGGGGAGCAAACAGGAUUAGAGACCCUAGUAGUC